GACGUAGGGCGCAAGCGUUGUCCGGAAUUAUUGGGCGUAAAGAGCUCGUAGGCGGCUUGUUGCGUCGACUGUGAAAAACCACGACUCAACCGUGGGACUGCAGUCGAUACGGGCAGGCUAGAGUUCGGUAGGGGAGACUGGAAUUCCUGGUGUAGCGGUGAAAUGCGCAGAUAUCAGGAGGAACACCCGUGGCGAAGGCGGCUCUCUGGGACGGUACUGACGCUGAGACGCGAAAGCGUGGGGAGCGAACAGG
rnacentral:rRNA from 1 species